rnacentral:rRNA from 1 species
GAUGAACGCUAGCGGCAGGCCUAAUACAUGCAAGUCGAGGGGUAGUGGUUGCUUGCAGCCAUGAGACCGGCGCACGGGUGCGUAACGCGUAUGCAACCUACCUUCAUCUGGGGGAUAGCCCGGAGAAAUCCGGAUUAAUACCGCAUAAAAUCACAGUACGGCAUCGUACAAUGAUCAAACAUUUAUGGGAUGGAGAUGGGCAUGCGUGUCAUUAGUUAGUUGGCGGGGUAACGGCCCACCAAGACCGCGAUGACUAGGGGAUCUGAGAGGAUGACCCCCCACACUGGUACUGAGACACGGACCAGACUCCUACGGGAGGCAGCAGUAAGGAAUAUUGGUCAAUGGGCGCAAGCCUGAACCAGCCAUGCCGCGUGCAGGAAGACGGCCCUCUGGGUUGUAAACUGCUUUUAUUCGGGAAUAAACCUGCUUACGUGUAAGUAGCUGAAUGUACCGAAGGAAUAAGGAUCGGCUAACUCCGUGCCAGCCGCCGCCGUAA